rnacentral:lncRNA from 1 species
AUGGGCGGCGACGGAGCUGCAGCUUCUGGUUCUGGUUCGCUCGCGAAGAAAGAAGUAGAAGAAGAAGCUGGUUCUGUCGUGUGCGGGAAGGAAGAAGAGAGAGGAGAGAGAAGAGAGAGAUAAACAUUGACUGGUCAAAGAGGAAAAGAGAGAGAGAAUAGGCGGUGGGGAAGGGUUUCGCACGAGGGGGAGGGAAAGAAGAGAGAGAAAAAGGGAG